CAGUGGCGAAGGCGACUUUCUGGUCUGUAACUGACACUGAGGUGCGAAAGCGGGGGAGCAAACAGGAUUAGAUACCCUGGGGGCACGCAGUAAACGAUGAGUGCUAAGUGUUAGAGGGUUUCCGCCCUUUAGUGCUGAAGUUAACGCAUUUAGGCAGGGCCCUGGGGGAGUACGGCCGCAAGGCUGAAACUCAAAGGAAUUGACGGGGGCCCGCACAAGCGGUGGAGCAUGUGGUUUAAUUCGAAGCAACGCGAAGAACCUUACCAGGUCUUGACAUCCCUCUGAAAAACCCUAGAGAUAGGSCUCUUCCUUCGGGAGCAGGAGUGACAGGUGGUGCAUGGUUGUCGUCAGCUCGUGUCGUGAGAUGUUGGGUUAAGUCCCGCAACGAGCGCAACCCUUGAUCUUAGUUGCCAUCUUUAAGUUGGGCACUCUAAGGUGACUGCCGGUGACAAACCGGAGAGGAAGGGUGGGGAUGACGUCAA
rnacentral:rRNA from 1 species